rnacentral:rRNA from 1 species
CGCUGGCGGCGUGCCUAACACAUGCAAGUCGAACGGUAACAGAACUAGCUUGCUAGUUGCUGACGAGUGGCGCACGGGUGAGUAACGCGUGGAUAUCUGCCUAUUAGUGGGGGACAACUUGUGGAAACGCAAGCUAAUACCGCAUAAUCCCUACGGGGGAAAGCAGGGGACCUUCGGGCCUUGUGCUGAUAGAUGAGUCCGCGUCUGAUUAGCUAGUUGGUAAGGUAAAGGCUUACCAAGGCGAUGAUCAGUAUCUGGUUUGAGAGGAUGAUCAGACACACUGGAACUGAGACACGGUCCAGACUCCUACGGGAGGCAGCAGUGGGGAAUAUUGCACAAUGGGGGAAACCCUGAUGCAGCGACGCCGCGUGUGGGAAGAAGGCCUUCGGGUUGUAAACCACUUUCAAUUGGGAAGAAGAGAUGAGGUUUAAUACACUUCUGAUUUGACGGUACCUUUAGAAGAAGCACCGGCUAAUUUCGUGCCAGCAGCCGCGGUAAUACGAAAGGUGCAAGCGUUGUUCGGAUUUACUGGGCGUAAAGAGAGUGUAGGUGGUUUAUUAAGUCGGAUGUGAAAUCCCGGGGCUCAACCUCGGAACUGCAUUCGAUACUGAUAGGCUAGAGUUUGGGAGGGGUAAGCGGAAUUCCGUGUGUAGCAGUGAAAUGCGUAGAUAUACGGAGGAACACCUGAGGCGAAGGCGGCUUACUGGACCAAUACUGACACUGAGACUCGAAAGCGUGGGUAGCAAACAGGAUUAGAUACCCUGGUAGUCCACGCCCUAAACGAUGUCAACUAGCCGUUGCGGGUAUCGACCCCUGCAGUGGCGAAGCUAACGCGAUAAGUUGACCGCCUGGGGAGUAC